rnacentral:piRNA from 1 species
GAAGGUAGAAGUUUUGUCUGAGAGAGGU